rnacentral:misc_RNA from 1 species
UCCGGCUUAUCACCGGCAGUUUCUUUAGAGUGCCCAACUAAAUGGUGGCAACUAAAGACGAGGGUUGCGCUCGUUGCGGGACUUAACCCAACAUCUCACGACACGAGUUGACGACGGCCAUGCAGCACCUGUGUGCAGGUCCCCGAAGGGAAGGAAUCCAUCUCUGGAAGCCGUCCUGCCAUGUCAAACGCUGGUAAGGUUCUGCGCGUUGCUUCGGAUUAAACCACAUGCUCCACCGCUUGUGCGGGUCCCCGUCAAUUCCUUUGAGUUUUAAUCUUGCGACCGUACUCCCCAGGCGGUCAACUUCACGCGUUAGCUGCGGUACUGAGAACUUGCGCUCCCAACACCUAGUUGACAUCGUUUAGGGCGUGGACUAC